rnacentral:rRNA from 1 species
CACUCCUACGGGAGGCAGCAGUGGGGAAUUUUGGACAAUGGGCGAAAGCCUGAUCCAGCAAUGCCGCGUGAGUGAAGAAGGCCUUCGGGUUGUAAAGCUCUUUUGUCAGGGAAGAAACGGUGAGAGCUAAUAUCUCUUGCUAAUGACGGUACCUGAAGAAUAAGCACCGGCUAACUACGUGCCAGCAGCCGCGGUAAUACGUAGGGUGCAAGCGUUAAUCGGAAUUACUGGGCGUAAAGCGUGCGCAGGCGGUUUUGUAAGUCUGAUGUGAAAUCCCCGGGCUCAACCUAGGAAUUGCAUUGGAGACUGCAAGGCUAGAAUCUGGCAGAGGGGGGUAGAAUUCCACGUGUAGCAGUGAAAUGCGUAGAUAUGUGGAGGAACACCGAUGGCGAAGGCAGCCCCCUGGGUCAAGAUUGACGCUCAUGCACGAAAGCGUGGGGAGCAAACAGGAUUAGAUACCCUAGUAGUCCC